CACACUUCUUUAACUCGCUUUUUUCUUCCAUGAUAUUAAAAUACAAGUAAUCUGUCAAAUCGUAGCUUUAUACAUACCUAUGUACGUGUGUGGCAAUGCCCCCUGGUUUAAAUGAACCUUAUAAACACAUUUAUUUCUCUCACAUCGUGACUAAAGUCCUUUAAAUAACAGCAGAAAAACCGUAGUUUUCACAGCAGAUGUAAUUAUGUUUUCAGUAUCACUGCUGGUUCUGUUAAUUUGUGAGCGCUAAUCCAGUGUUUGGCAAAAUGUCAGCAAAGGACUCAGCGUUGGUGAACAAGAUGAGUCACAUCUGGAGGGAAGAAGGAGGAUCGAGAAACAAAAGUGGGGGAGACAGAAAAGUGGGAUUGUUGGUCAGAGUCCUGAAAGGUUUUACAACAUGGACCAUGAACAGCAGGAAUGAAACUGACCGCAUUGCCACCUUCUUUGUCUGCUGUUGUUGGAAGCAACGAUGAAAUAUGGCUCUCCUGAGAAAAGUUAACCAGAUCCUGGUGGUGCUCCUGCUGCUCAUGGUGUGUCUCCUCCUGCACAGCUCACUGCUCGGAGCCUCGCCUCGACCCAAACCCGCAGGUAUUUCCACACAGGUUAUAUUUCAAUCUUUGUAAGGCAAAUUAAACUGACUUUAAAUGUGUAUUGUAUGUAUAAGCAGAGAUGGCACAAGUACACACAUCCUUUCCUCAAGUAGAAGUACAG